AGUGAACGCUGGCGGUAGGCCUAACACAUGCAAGUCGAACGGCAGCACAGUAAGAGCUUGCUCUUACGGGUGGCGAGUGGCGGACGGGUGAGGAAUACAUCGGAAUCUACUUUUUCGUGGGGGAUAACGUAGGGAAACUUACGCUAAUACCGCAUACGACCUACGGGUGAAAGCAGGGGAUCUUCGGACCUUGCGCGAUUGAAUGAGCCGAUGUCGGAUUAGCUAGUUGGCGGGGUAAAGGCCCACCAAGGCGACGAUCCGUAGCUGGUCUGAGAGGAUGAUCAGCCACACUGGAACUGAGACACGGUCCAGACUCCUACGGGAGGCAGCAGUGGGGAAUAUUGGACAAGGGGCGCAAGCCUGAUCCAGCCAUACCGCGUGGGUGAAGAAGGCCUUCGGGUUGUAAAGCCCUUUUGUUGGGAAAGAAAAGCAGCAGGUUAAUACCCCGCUGUUCUGACGGUACCCAAAGAAGAAGCACCGGCUAACUUCUU
rnacentral:rRNA from 1 species